rnacentral:rRNA from 1 species
AGCGAACGCUGGCGGCAGGCCUAACACAUGCAAGUCGAACGAACCUUUCGGGGUUAGUGGCGGACGGGUGAGUAACACGUGGGAACGUGCCUUUAGGUUCGGAAUAACUCAGGGAAACUUGUGCUCAUACCGCAUGUGCUCUUCGGGGGAAAGAUUAAUCGCCUCUAGAGCGGCCGGCGUCUGAUUAGCUAGUUGGUUGGGGUAAUGGCUCACCAAGGCGACGAUCAGUAGCUGGUCUGAGAGGAGGAUCAGCCACAUUGGGACUGAGACACGGCCCAAACUCCGACGGGAGGCAGCAGUGGGGAAUCUUGCGCAAUGAGCGAAAGCCUGACGCAGCCAUGCCGCGUGAAUGAUGAAGGUCUUAGGAUUGUAAAAUUCUUUCACCGGAGACGAUAAUGACGGUACCCGGAGAAGAAGCCCCGGCUAACUUCGUG